GCCGGGCGUGGUGGCACAUGUCUGUAAUCCCAGCUACUGGGGAGGCUGAGGCAGAAGAAUCACUUGAACCCAGGAGGCGGAGGGUGCAGUGAGCCCAGAUCAUGCCACUGCACUCCAGCCUGGGUAACAGAGUGAGACUCGGUCUCAA
rnacentral:SRP_RNA from 1 species